rnacentral:rRNA from 1 species
AUUGAACGCUGGCGGCGUGCCUAAUACAUGCAAGUCGAGCGAAUAGGGGACGGGUGAGUAACACGUGGAUACCACCCUAUAACAGUGGGAGAACUUCGGUAAACCCGAGCUAAACCGGAUACUUAUACAUGGAUCCGGGCUGCAUUAGCUAGUUGGUAAGGUAACGGCUUACAAAGGCAACGAUGCAUAGCCGACCUGAGAGGGUGAUUGGCCAAACUGGAACUGAGACACGGUCAAGAUUCCUGCGGGAGGCAGCAGUGGGGAAUCUUCCGCAAUGGGCGAAGGCCUGACGAAGCAAGGCCGAGUGAGUGAUGAAGGUCUUGGGUUCGUAAAACUCUGUUAUUAGGGAGGCGGUACCUAAUCAGAAAGCCACGGCUAACUACGUGCCAGCAGCCGCGGUAAUUC